rnacentral:rRNA from 1 species
CAGCCGCCGCGGGAAAACGUAGGUGGCAAGCGUUGUCCGGAAUUAUUGGGCGUAAAGGGCUCGCAGGCGGUUUCUUAAGUCUGAUGUGAAAGCCCCCGGCUCAACCGGGGAGGGUCAUUGGAAACUGGGAAACUUGAGUGCAGAAGAGGAGAGUGGAAUUCCACGUGUAGCGGUGAAAUGCGUAGAGAUGUGGAGGAACACCAGUGGCGAAGGCGACUCUCUGGUCUGUAACUGACGCUGAGGAGCGAAAGCGUGGGGAGCGAACAGGAUUAGAGACCCCGGUAGUCCCUGUCUCUUAUAC